AAAUGUUUCUACUACUGAAAAGCCUACUACUAUCCAGGACCUUAAGAGUGAUAUUAAUAUUCUGAAAUCUGAAAUAAAGCAAUUACAGAAUACUAAUGUUAUUAUUUUCCAAGACUUAAAAAAUAUUAAAGAACAAUUAAUUCAUAAACAGGAUAAUAAUAUAGAAUCCUCUAAGACUGAAUCUUCUGAUAAGCUAGAAUCUUCU
rnacentral:lncRNA from 1 species